rnacentral:siRNA from 1 species
CUUUAUCGCCAAGUUGAAAGCUGC